AGAAGAAUGAGAGGGCGGAUCUUUUUUGGCAGGUGGAUUCAUCUAAAUUAAAAUUGAUCUGCCAAAAGAGACUUGCCCUGCCAUUCAACU
rnacentral:pre_miRNA from 1 species